rnacentral:rRNA from 1 species
UACGGAGGGUGCAAGCGUUAUCCGGAUUAUUGGGUUUAAAGGGUGCGUAGGCGGUCUUAUAAGUCAGUGGUGAAAUCCUAUCGCUUAACGAUAGACGUGCCAUUGAUACUGUAGGACUUGAGUACAGAUGCCGUUGGCGGAAUGUGUCAUGUAGCGGUGAAAUGCAUAGAUAUGACACAGAACACCGAUUGCGAAGGCAGCUGACGAAACUGUAAACUGACGCUGAUGCACGAAAGCGUGGGGAUCAAACAGG